rnacentral:rRNA from 1 species
UACGUAGGGGCAGCGUGUCGGAUUAUUGGUGCGUAAAGAGCGUGUAGGCGGCUUGGUAGGUCAGCUGUGAAACUCGAGGCUCAACCUCGAGACGUCGAUGGAAACCAUCUGGCUAGAGUCCGGAAGAGGAGAGUGGAAUUCCUGGUGUAGCGGUGAAAUGCGCAGAUAUCAGGAGGAACACCGGUGGCGAAGGCGGGUCUCUGGCGUAACUGACGCUGAGGAGCGAAAGCGUGGGGAGCGAACAGGAUUAGAACUACCCGAGUAAGUCCAAGA